rnacentral:lncRNA from 1 species
CAGGGUACUAGCUCUGUUCUACCACAAAUAAUACUAAAUUUUCCUUCUAAUUGGCAGGAGUCCAGAACCAAAACCCCUCAUCGCCAACUGUUUAGUCUGGAUAUAAGAAAGUGGAUAAAUUUUCUUCUCAAAAAAAAAAGCACUUACUUGAUUUCAGUGUCCUUGAGAAUAUUCCCAA